rnacentral:rRNA from 1 species
UACGUCGGGUGCGAGCGUUUAUCGGAAUUACUGGGCGUAAAGGGUGCGCAGGCGGUUCUGUAAGUCAGAUGGGAAAUCCCCGGGCUUAACCUAGGAACUGCGUUUGAAACUACAGAGCUAGAGUGUGGCAGAGGGGGGUGGAAUUCCAUGUGUAGCAGUGAAAUGCGUAGAGAUAUGGAAGAACAUCGAUGGCGAAGGCAGCCCCCUGGGUCAACACUGACGCUCAGGCACGAAAGCGUGGUGAGCAAACAGGAUUAGAUACCCUGGUAGUCCACGCCCUAAACUAUGUCAACUAGUUGUCGGGCCUUAUUAGGUUUGGUAACGGAGCUAACGCGUGAAGUUGACCGCCGGGGGAGUACGGUCGCAAGAUUAAAACUUAAAUGAAUUGACGG